GACGGGGGAUGCGAGCGUUAUCCGGAAUGAUUGGGCGUAAAGGGUCCGCAGGUGGCCCGGUCAGUCCGCUGUCAAAGCCUGGGGCUCAACCCUGGAGAGGCGGCGGAGACCACCGGGCUUGAGUCCGGUAGGGGCAGAGGGAAUUCCCGGUGUAGAGGUGAAAUUCGUAGAUAUCGGGAGGAACACCAGUGGCGAAGGCGGCGACCUGGGCCAAUAUUGACGCUGAGGUGCGAAAGCGUGGGGAGCAAACAGG
rnacentral:rRNA from 1 species